UUAUAAUCUUCUUAUUUUCUAAGGUCUCCUUUUACACGUUGCUCCCUUUCUUUGCUUCUCUCAGAAUGGGUCCUUUUGCAUGUGUUCCUUUAUAUCACAUUUUUAACGGUCUCCAUUCAAUUCGUUCAUAUAGAUUUCACCUUAUCUUCUUUUUCCAUCAUCUACUUAGAAACAACAAAAUAAGUUCAUUUCCCUAAUUCCUGUCUCUCUCCUAACUAAACUCUCUCUUCCUAACACUAUUUUGUUCUAGAUUCAUCAAAGAAUCAUACAAAAAAACUCCAUUAAGAUUUAUUCAAAAAUCAUCCAAUUUUCCUUUUUUUUCCAAUUAUCUCCAUAAGUUCAUCUCCUUGUAAACAUAUCUUCAAAAUCUUCAUCCUUUUCACCCCAAUUCUUCAAAAUUUACCUGAAACCCUUAUUCCAUAACCCAAAAACUUCUCCAAAUCUUCAUCUUCUGACAUCAUUUGCCUUCACAUACAAAAUGGCCGAACAAAACUACCUUUAUUUCUCCACCAACCCAUCAAAUCCUUACUACAUACACCCAAAUGAAAACCCUACGCUCAUUCUCGUCACCCCCUAUCCUAUCUCCUCUGUCCUAAGCUAUCAUAAUUGCUCUCCUACCUAUAAUUUUUUUUGCCUCUCUGUAUCCUCUACUACUAAACCAAAAUCCUACAAACAAGCUUCUUAAUCCAAUUGCUUGCUAGAACAAUACCAUGAAAGUUGAAUUAGUUGCCUUAAGUUCCACCAACAAUUGGUCCAUCGUUGAUUUACCACCUAACAAAAAGCAAAUAGAUUGCAAAUGACUCUAUAGAACGUUAUAAAGUAUGCCUCGUCUCAAAAGGCUACUCAGGUUGAAGGUAUAGAUUAUUUCGACACUUUUUCUCCGAUUGUAAAGCUAACAACGAUAAGAUCUCUCUUUGCUUUAACUUCUAUUAAAGGUUGGUUUUUAGAACACUUAUAUGUAACUAACGCUUUUCUGCAUGGAGAUUUACACGAAGAAGUGUACAUGAUCUUACCUAAAGGUCUUAUUUUAUCUGAUUUUGUCUCCACUAGAAACUAAGUCUAUAAGCUACAAAAGUUCAUUUAUGGACUCAAACAAGCUAGAAGACAAUGAUUCUGAUUGGGCAACUUGCACCAUUUCUAGAAAAUCAAUCACAUGAUAUGUAGUUUUCCUUGGCUCCUCCUCUCAUCUCAUGGAAAUCAAAGAAGCAACACACAAUUUCUAGGAGUAGCUCUGAAGUGGAAUAUCGGGCGUUGGCAAGCUUGACUUACGAAAUACAAUGGCUACAGAAUUUAUUUAAAGACUUGAAUCACUCAUUAUAUCAACCAACCCCUGUUUACUAUGACAAAAAUUCUGUAAUUUACCUGGCGCAUAAUCCUUCCUUUCAUGAAUGAUCGAAGCAAAUAGAAAUUAAUUAUCA